UAUUUAUAUAAUUUAUAUAAUUUUUUUUAUUAUUUAAUUUUUAACCCAAUCUAAAUAUAAAGCUUAUAUUAAUUAUAAAAAGUCUCAUUUAUAUGUAAUUUUUUUAACCAUUAGAUUAAAAACUAAAAACUAAUGAGUAAAAUCUUAUAAAUUUAUUUUCUAUAUAUAUUCUUUAGUCUUUUUAACUUAUUGUUUGUAAAUUAUCGUGUGUGGCUCGAUUAUAAACAAGUUGAGCACGAGCUGAAUAUGAUACUUUAACGAGCUAGUUCGAGUGCCGAGCCGG
rnacentral:lncRNA from 1 species